rnacentral:rRNA from 1 species
AUUGAACGCUGGCGGCAGGCCUAACACAUGCAAGUCGAGCGAGCGGCGGACGGGUGAGUAAUGUAUGGGGAUCUGCCCGAUAGAGGGGGAUAACUCCUGGAAACGGUGGCUAAUCCCGCAACCUAUCGGAUGACCCAAUAUGGGAUUAGCUAGUAGGUGGGGUAAAGGCUCACCUAGGCGACGAUCUCUCGCUGGUCUGAUAGGAGGACCAGCCACACUGGGACUGAGACACGGCCCAGACGCCUACGGGAGGCAGCAGUGGGGAAUAUUGCACAAUGGGCGCAAGCCUGAUGCAGCCAUGCCGCGUGUAUGAAGAAGGCCUUAGGGUUGUAAAGUACUUUCAGCGGGGAGGCGUUACCCGCAGAAGAAGCACCGGCUAACUCCGUGCCAGCAGCCGCGGUAAUAC